UCCGGACGGACGCCGAAUCCUGCCGCCGACCGGAGUCCGCGCAAACUCACCCGUGAACGGCAGGAGCGGGGGACCCACAGGUACAACCGCCUGUUCCGGUCUCCUGGAACAGGCUUGGGGUCAAGUCGCGUCCCGACGUGACCGGGCAUCUCCAGCCCGCACCCGACAGCUCACCUCGUAGGCGCCGGAGAGGAAUU
rnacentral:sRNA from 2 species